rnacentral:rRNA from 1 species
UACGAAGGGGGCUAGCGUUGCUCGGAAUUACUGGGCGUAAAGGGCGCGUAGGCGGCACUGUUAGUCAGGCGUGAAAGUCCUGGGCUCAACCUGGGAACUGCGCUUGAUACGGCAGAGCUAGAGGAUGGAAGAGGCUCGCGGAAUUCCCAGUGUAGAGGUGAAAUUCGUAGAUAUUGGGAAGAACACCGGUGGCGAAGGCGGCGAGCUGGUCCAUUAC